CCUACGGGUGGCAGCAGUGAGGAAUAUUGGUCAAUGGACGCAAGUCUGAACCAGCCAAGCCGCGUGAAGGAUGACGGUUCUAUGGAUUGUAAACCUCUUUUGUAAGGGAAUAAAGUGUGGGACGUGUCCUUUUUUGUAUGUACCUUAUGAAUAAGGAUCGGCUAACUCCGUGCCAGCAGCCGCGGUAAUACGGAGGAUCCGAGCGUUAUCCGGAUUUAUUGGGUUUAAAGGGUGCGUAGGCGGUUCGUUAAGUCAGUGGUAAAAUUGCGGGGCUCAACCCCUUCCUGCCAUUGAUACUGGCGGUCUUGAGUGGAAGAGAGGUAUGCGGAAUGCGUGGUGUAGCGGUGAAAUGCUUAGAUAUCACGCAGAACACCGAUUGCGAAGGCAGCAUGCCGGGUUCCGACUGACGCUGAAGCACGAAAGCGUGGGGAUCGAACAGGAUUAGAUACCCGGGUAGUC
rnacentral:rRNA from 1 species